GCAGUUAAAGCUCGUAGUUGGAUUUUGGUUAAGAGGGCGCGGUCGGCCGUUUGGUCUGUACUGCGUUGUCUUGACUUCCUGAUGAGGACAUGCUCUUGGUUAACGCUGAGACAUGGAGUCAUCGUGGUUACUUUGAAAAAAUUAGAGUGUUCAAAGCGGGCUUACGCUUGAAUAUAUUAGCAUGGAAUAACACUAUAGGACUCCUGUCCUAUCUCGUUGGUCUCGGGAUGGGAGUAAUGAUUAAGAGGAACAGUUGGGGGCAUUCGUAUUUCAUUGUCAGAGGUGAAAUUCUUGGAUUUAUGAAAGACGAACUUCUGCGAAAGCAUUUGCCAAGGAUGUUUUCAUUAAUCAAGAACGAAAGUUGGGGGCUCGAAGAUGAUUAGAUACCAUCCUAGUCUCAACCAUAAACGAUGCCGAUUAGGGUUGGUGGAUGUUAAUUGAUGACUUCACCAGCACCUUAUGAGAAAUCAAAGUUUUUGGGUUCCGGGGGGAGUAUGGUCGCAAGGCUGAAACUUAAAGGAAUUGACGGAAGGGCACCACCAGGCGUGGAGCCUGCGGCUUAAUUUGACUCAACACGGGGAAACUUACCAGGUCCAGACAUAAGUAUGAUUGA
rnacentral:rRNA from 1 species